GAAGGAGUAUGCCAAUGACAACAGAAAUUGUCCCUGACCCUCAAGGGGCUCACAAUCUAAAUAUAAUCAGGAGGUUGGCAACAGAAUCAUAAGGAAAGACGAACACAGCCUAGUGGAAAGAGCAUAGGCCUAUGAGUCAGAGGACCUGGGUUGUGAUCCUAGUUCUGCCACUCAUCUGCUGGGUGGCCUUGGACAAGUCAUUUAACUAACCCAUGCCUCAGUACCCUCAUCUGCAAAAUGGGAAUUCAAUACCUGUUCUCCCUCCUACUUAGACGGUGAGUCCCACGAAGGACCUGAUUAUCUUGAAUCAACCCCAGCGCUUACUACAGUGCUUGGCACAUAGUAAAAACUUAACUACUGCAAUUAUUAUUAUGGACAAAAAUACGAAGAUGAAGACAAAUAUGAAAGAAGCAGCAGGAUGUCAGACUCUCUGCGGCUCAGACCAUCAAUUCCAGAGGUCAGGGUUGCAGUUACUGUGGCAACUACAAGAUUCUGAAUGUCAACGAGACCUCACCGUAUCAACAUUCGAGUCCUUCCUGGCCCGGAGCAGAAGCAAAUGGGAGCCUCACUCUAGACUGUGAGGUUGAUGUGGGCAGGGAUUGCCUCUCUAUUGCUGUACUGUACUUUCCAAGCACUUAUGACAGUGCUCUACACACAGUAAGAGCUCAAGAAAUAUGAUUGAAUGAAUGAAUGGGUUGGUUGGGGUCCAGCCAUCCCACGCAGCUGGGCCCGCUGUAAGGUUGGUGAAGGAGAAAAGACAAGGAGGAUAAAAAGAACCACAAGAAAGAAGAAUAACUUUGACCCAAAACUGAGGGUGGACAAAGUGCCUGGAAGAGGAAUCGAUCAAGGAAAGAAGGAGGGUUCCUUAAAGUUUAUUUCUCUCCAAGUGCUUCCUUCUACAGCUUCCCUCCCUCUUUUCCUUUUCUUCAACUCCCUUCUGUGUUGUCCUGACUUGCUCCUUUUAUUCAUUCCUCCUCCCACCUCCACAGCACUUAUGUCCCCAUAUCUGUAAUUUAUAUUAAUGGCCGUCUCCCCCCUACAGUGUAAGCUCGCUGUGGGCAGGGGAUGUGUCUGUGAUAUUGUUCUAUCAUACUCCUUCAGAAGUCUCUCCUUCGCCGGCUUCUUUAUGGUUCUGCGGUGGCUCUCCACAGCCACAGCUAUGACAGCAUAGAAUUGUUUGGAAUGAGAUUUCUCAGGGCACCGUGGGGAAAGAAAACGAGGAGGAAGUACGGAAAAAAUCCUUUAAGCUUCAUUAAAGCUCUUGCUUAACUGAGCUAAAAAUAAAACUAAUUGCUUUUGCUAUUCUAAUGUGAAAAAUCAGUUUUAAGGGAUCAAGAUUCUCUCCCUGGCUGGAGAAAUCAUUGAAUCAGUAAUAGACUGUCAAUGAAUUAUGAAUGUGGUAAUCAAGGCUUCUUGGAAGGCUAAAACUUUAGUUGCAAAUGGACACUAUAAUUAGAAAGAUGUGGAACUGCCUAAAACGAUCCACGUUAUCAUUUGUUUUACACAGAGGCCCAGACACACGCAGGUACUCUCCCUCAUCCAUUGGGUUACACCGAGUCAACCCUUUUGGGGAGGGACCUUCUUAGACUGGAUGUCAUCAAUGUCUGAUCCUGCAUAAGCAGAAGGUGGAAUUGAGCAACCAUAUGGAGGAUAUGAUGAAUGGAAACAAUCAAAGAGGCAGCAGUGUGGCCUAGUGGAGAGAACAUGGGCCUGGGCAUCAGAAGGACUUGGGUUCUAAUCCCAGCUCUGCCACAUGAGCAAGUCACUCCUCUUCUCUGUGCCUCAGUUACCUCAUCUGAAAAAAAAAUGGGGAUUAAGACUGUGAGCCCCAUAUGGGAAAGGGACUUCAUUCAAACCGAUUAGCUUGUAUCUACUCAUUUUGUAUAGUGCCUGGCACAAUGGAAACUCUUACAAGCCAUUUUUUUAAAAAAUCUAGAUCCUUCAGGCUGAAAAACCUUUGGUAGGGUUAUUUUUCCCUGAAUUGUCUAGAUGGUUGUCUCAACUCUCCACUUCACCUUUACAGACCCAGCCAAAUGGGACUCGUUUUGAUGAGCAGUGCAAAAUGGCAGCCAUUCAAGUAAUGCAGGCAGAGCUGGCCCUUUGCCACCUCUCGCACGUCAGCCCCAAUUUUUCUGCAGAAAAUAAUUGGUGUGAAACAAAAGGAGUCCUGACCUGGAAUCACUGUACCUACAAAUUCCUGUCUUGGAAAACACCCAGCUCUUCUCCUUCCCAGCCUUAGAACUCUGCUCCGUUGGGCUCACUGUCUAGUUGGAAAGAGAGGGAACAAGGAGACUCAGAAGAGGCGAUGAGUCAGGAUUUCCUGCUCCUCCUCCACCAAGGUGGGUCUUGGGCAGUUUACUGAGAAAGUUCAAGUGAUUCAAAUGCAUGAAGCCCAUGGUCCUGUUCUAUUUCCAUGAUAGUAUCUUUCCAAAAAUCUCCUUUGGGGAAGCAACUAAAUUUCUGCCCUUUUUGUGGCCUGAUGGAGAGAGAACAGACUUGAGAGCCAGGGGACCUGGGUUCUAGUCCUAGUUCUGCCACUUGCUUCCCGUGUGACCUCGGUCAAAGUCACUUGACUUUUCUAUACUUUGGUUUUCCCAUUAUUAAAAUGGGGGUAAUAGUUCUGUUCUUCCUUCCGCUUAGGCUGGAAAUCCCAUGGGGAACAGGGUCUGGGUCUGCCUGAACACCUUGUAUCUAUCCCAGAACUUAGUAUAGUGCUUAGCACAUAGUGAGCACUUAACAAUACCACCUUAUACCUUUUUUGGUUCUUAAUCUUCUCAACCAAUUAUAUUUUUAAAAUGUUUACUGUGUGCAGAGCUCUGUACUAAGCACUUGGAAGAGUACAAGAGAGUUGGAAGAUGCAUUCCUGCCCCCAAGGAGCUUACCACCUAGAGGGGGAGACAUUCAAAUAAAUUAUGGAUAUGUACAUAAGUACUGUGAGGUGAAGUAAAUAUCAAGUGCUUAAAAAACUUGCUACCAACUCUACUGUAUUCUGCUGAGCACUCAUUACAGUGUUCUGCACACAAUAAGCAUUCAAUAAAAACCAUUUAUCGAUUGAUUAAAGGGUACAGAUCCACCCGUAUAGGUGACACAGAAGAGAGAGGGAGUAGGGGAAACGAGGGCUUAGUCGGGGAAGGCUUCCUUCUGGCCUGGAACUCCCUCCCCCUUCAUAUCCAACAGACCACCCCCACCUUCAAAGCUCAACUAAAGCCCUCAUUAUCCCUAUUUGCCUAUGAACUCAGACCUGUAUCUCUCAAACACUUGAUAUGUGCCCCAGCCUCACAACCUCUCUGUACGUAUCUAUUUUCCCUCCCAUCUGUAAUUUGACUAUCUGUUUCCCCCUCUAGACUGUAAGUUCCUUCUCGGAAAGGAUGUUUACCAAUUCCAUUGUACUGGACUCUUCCAAGCAUCUAGUAUGCUGCCUGGCACAGAGUAAGCACUCAAUAAAUUCCAUUGAUUGACUGAUCUAUCUAAACUGUCGGGAUGGAGAUCUCUAUGGUGGGUGUUUCAAUGUGGGGAGACGGGAAGAAGAGAGAGAGAGAGAAGCUCUGAACAAGGAAACUGUGAGUUUCCAGCUAGCAGUCCCUGACUUUAGCUGUAGUCAUGGCAGAGGCAGCUGCUUCUUCCCCAUGACUAGGCAUUUGAAUAAAACUCAGUGUUUCCCAGGCUUAAUUAGACACACUUCAAAAAGUUGCCAGUAGAAUUCUGCAAUAGAACUUAAAGCUUUUCCCUUCUAUCUCUCUUGUAUCAAUGAAUUAAUUUUCCAUUCUACCUUGCGUGGGUGGCUGGUAAUGAUAUGCAGAGCAAGAUAGCUGAUAAGAUUUAGAGGUUUUUUUAUGCAAAACAUUAUGGAUUACUGAGUGCCACAGCAAGGUGGCUGAGAAGCUGUAUUAAUGCCUGGGACUCCAGAAGAAAGCUGGCACCCUGAGGACCGGAGCUGAUUCUGAACAAUGUCUUGUUCAAAUACAAAAGUAUUUCAGGAGGCAUGCAGAGAGGGGAUUGAAUAUCAGUUUUGUUCUCCUUUAUACUGGUGACUAAGGGUUGCCUAGUAAGCUCUGUUGGUGACUAGCAAACACAGCCCUAGUCCUCUGGCUCUGCCCCAGGUUUAGGUCUCCAGGCCAAAACCACUCCCGUUGUUCUAGUUCCCCGAUGGAAGAAGAGGCCAUUUCUGAAUCAGCCACUGGUUCAGAUCCAAUGAUCCAACCUGGAACCGGGGAUGUCCAGGAGCUUGCUCCUUGCACGCCGAGCCACAUUCAAGAUGUGACUUAUCUAGCAGAGCCAUUUAUCCCCUGUGGCUUGACUGCAGGGAUUGACUUUCCCAUACAGCCUCUUGCAAUGCCCCCUGAGAUUUCGGCUGGCAGUGGUGCCCUGCAUUCCCUUCCUGCCCUGAACCACUGUGCCACACUGCGCCCCAGCUCCGCUGUGAUAAACAAACUGCUCUUACUCCCAGUCUAGAGACCCGAGACACAAAAUCCCUGUCCCCCAGAACACACUGCAUAGAGACAGCAGGGCC
rnacentral:lncRNA from 1 species